rnacentral:rRNA from 1 species
AGCGAACGCUGGCGGCAUGCUUAACACAUGCAAGUCGCACGGGCAGCAAUGUCAGUGGCGGACGGGUGAGUAACGCGUAGGAACGUGUCCUGAGGUGGGGGACAACCCCGGGAAACUGGGGCUAAUACCGCAUAUGGGCUGAGGCCCAAAGCCGAGAGGCGCCUUUGGAGCGGCCUGCGUCCGAUUAGGUAGUUGGUGGGGUAAAGGCCUACCAAGCCUGCGAUCGGUAGCUGGUCUGAGAGGACGACCAGCCACACUGGGACUGAGACACGGCCCAGACGCGUAGGGGAGGAGGAGGUAGGGAAGAUGGGAAAGGGGGGGAAAGCGUGAUCAACGAGGGGGGGGUGGAGAAAGGGGGUCUGCGAGCCUCAAAGCCGUUGCGAGGGGAAUGAUGGUGGAGGGACCGGUAGAACAGGCCCCGCCUAACUGCGCGCGAGCAGCGGGGUGAAUAAUGGGAGAGCAACGUCCGAAC